AAUGGCACUAGGAAGACAUUUCAGAUUUUUGCAAUCUCUCAAGUCCAAUAAAGAAAGACUAGUUAGAUGUUCAACUGAUGAAAGUAUACUUUCACCGGUCCCAUCUAAAGAAAGCUUCCGUAAAUGCUCCAUAGGUUCCACAAAAUUCGGUAUCCUUUUAAUGCUUGAGCAGCCAGAAAGAACUAGAACUUCAAGGUGCUCCAUUUCAAUCUCAUCCGGAAGAAGCUCGAGACUUUCGCAAUCUUUAAGGGUCAAGAAAGAAAGCUUUUUGAGAGUUCCUAUGGAAAAGUGAAUCUCAACCAGACUUUCGCAUCCCUCAAGAUCUAAUCCCUCAAGAUUCUGAAUCCCCUCAAAAUCAGGGGUUCUAGUCAAACUUUUGGAAUGACUAACUGUAAUGAUUUUUAACUUGUCAAAAUUCUGUAAUGUUUCCAAGAAAUGUAGAAUAAUUAGAUCUAGAAAACUCAAAUAAAGGUCGUACCCAGUGCACAAGGCUCCCGCUUUACGCAGGGUCUGGGAGAAGUGAAAUAAGGUAAUGAAAUAUAUUCUUUAACAAAUAAGGUAAAUAAUAUUGUAGAUGUAAGUGUAUACCUUUUUUCCGUUCCAGAGCUGUUCAAUUCUACUAUGACACAUGCUAAGUUCAACAAGCUCAUCCGGGUCGAAUCCUGAUGGGAGAUAUUGUAGAGGAUAACCUCCCCAUUCAAGAAAUCUCAAGGAAUUAGGGAGACGGUUGAGGCCUUCAGGAAGGCGCACGUUAUGGACUUUGAGCAAUCUAAGAUUAACCAUCUGAUAAAAAGCUUCAGGAUGGCAUUCGACCUCUUUUGUUUCAAGCAAGUCUAGGACAAUGCCUUCAACAGUUGGUGUCCCCUGAUGACCAAGAAUAAAAAAACAAGUGAAUUGCGGUAUAAUAUGCGCAUUAUAAGUAAAGGAAGACGAGUAAAACUCUCUUACUGUUUUUUCCUUCAAAACAUGAAAGAUGUCCUUAGAGAGCCAUAAUCUGCUUCGUCCACCAGGUUCUUUAGAUUGUUGACCAACAACUGCUUGACCCAUUUUUUGUUACAAAUCAUUCAUCCACACCAUGUUAUCUGAAAUUGUUAUCAGAUACUUCUUCAUAAAGACAUUCAUGCCGCUACCUGGAUUAAAACCACAACCAUCUAGAAUUUCAACUAGUCGAUCUUUGUACUCUCCUUUAAAUGAACAUGCGAUGUCAAGGAAAAUAUCCUUCUCAUGCAUAUCUAAUCCCUCGUAAAUUAUUUUAAAAAUCUUCAUAAUUUUUUCUUUAAAUAUGAAAUCAUCCCCUAGUUUAUGCAAUUGACCACGCCAUGCAUCUAGAUCUCUUCCAUUCAAAGAUAACCCCAAGACCUCAAGAGCAAAUGGAACGCCACUGGCAUAAUUCACAAAACUUUUAGACAGAUCCAUAUGACUAUUAGGCGGAUUAUCUCUGUUCAAGGCUUUCAAGCUAAAAAGUUUAAGAGCGCCAACAUGACUCAACUCCGGCACCUUAAAUCUUCUUUCUACACCCUGUGAUAUUAGCAACUGUUCAUCUAUAGUCGUAACAAUGAUUCUACUCCCUUGACAAAACCAAGCUGGGUUUCCACAAAGCUUUUCUAACUGACUACUAUCGUCCACGUCGUCAAGAAUGAGGAGAACCUUUAUCUGAAGUAAGAAGUAUCUCAUUCUGGCGGUUUCACAGACGUUCCAGUCCUGUAUAUUUCUAUUCAUAAGGCUACUGGAAAGCUUCCUCUGUACACCAGCCAGACAGUGUGCCUUCGAGUCCUAUCUAACUCUUUCUUGAAAGCUUUUGACUUCAAAUUUGUGACAAAUCCUCUUAUAAGAUGCCUUGGCAAUGGUUGUCUUACCUAUCCCGCUCAUCCCCCAUAUCCCUAUAAAGAGAACAUCAUUUGACUCUAGCUCUAAAAGCACAUCUAGUCGCUUCAGUUUGGAAUUAACUUCAACCAGGUUUUCUUCAGGCUCCAAUGAUAAAGGACCGACUUCAUUUCGUACCGUUUCAAGAAUUUCUCUGAUGAGCUCUGGUUCCUUUCUAUAAGAAAAAAAAAGACAACGUUCAAGAUAUGACCUAAUACACAACAGAAACGAAAAAGUUAGACUAUUUUUGUUUUCGUCCACCUGAAGUCCUAGUACCAACUACCGAGUGGUCUCUGCGUCCAUUUAAUUAGAGGGUGGUUUGGUAUUGGACCAAAUUAGGGACGGUUCAGGAAAAGUGGAGGACUAAAAAGCACAGCAGUAUUGGAUUUAAAAGAUGAAAAUCUUAACUGGAUCAACUUUUUUCCCCUUAGAUUCUCAAAUGGACCAAAUAUAACAAAAAGUAAAUGAUAAGGAUUCUUCGAUUUUCCUAAAACGUAUAACGUAUUCUUCGUGCAUCAGGCUUUAGCAGAAUUGAAUUGAACUCGAGCAAAACUCAACCGAAUUCUAAAAAAAUAGCGAAGAAUGAAGGGUCAAGUGCUGAUUUGCGAAAACUUUUGAAAUGAGAGAAAAAAACAAGUAAUGCUAACCUAUUCUUUGAAGGAUACCUUUGAUUUUGGCCACUUUUGCUAAGGCAGCUUUCCAUCGUUCCACCAUCACUUUGUCAUUCUUAUACUUUUGUUCGAGUUGAGUGAAGCCUUUCCCAAAACUUGCAGACCGAUCUCCAACAUCGGAGGGUUCCACCGAGUAGAAAACUGGCAUAACUGCCGCUCUCACUUCCAUGCAUUCAAGAAUCUUUACGAGUUCGUUCAGGCACCAUUUUGAAGAAGCGUACUUUGGAGAGAUGACAAUGAUGGCAAGCCUCGACUUUUCAAUUGCCGGGAAGAGUUGAGAAAUUGAUCUUCCUACUUCAAGUUCUUCCUCAUCAUAGAAAGUUCUUGUAAUUCCUUGUUCUUGCAAUUAAUCAAGUAGAUGGGCGGUAAAACCUAAGCGCGUGUCGCCACCACAAAAACUCAGAAAGACAUCAUAUUUCCAUUCAAGAGCUGAAGGAAGAGAUGAAGUGGCUCGUUGGGUGCUCAAUGCCAUUGAAUACAAGCUAACUGGAAUGGUGGUACUAGUUUUUCAAGCAAAAACAUGACCAGAAAAACAAUUCAGCAUUCACAAUAUUAUAUUAGCCAAUAACAUGAACAGAAAUAACUAUGAAUCAGAAAGAUGAUCAAUAACCUGGGAGUAUGUAGAAAACGAAGUCACAGUCUCACAGAUCAAGUCAGAUUGGGCAUGAGAGGGGCUGAAGAUCCAUCAGGAAAAAAAAAACCUUCGUCUCUGUGUGCUUGCUACAAGUUUGUCUGUAUGUCGUGAAGUCCAAUCAAUGAGUAGGUACACCAACCCAUCAGGAUCUGGAUCCCAUCAGGAUCCAAAUUGUGAAAUCUUAGAGAACCUUACAUCAUUACAUCAUAGAUAUCCAUUGUACAUUAUGUAAUCAGAAAUUAUUUAAUUUUUUUAUUUAAAAUUAAACAUAAAUAAUACAGAAAAAUUUGAAAAAGUAACCAAAAUUUGAAUCUCAUAUAGAGUUAUAAUCACAUUUUUAAAUUUAUGAUAAUUAUAACCAAAAGUUGAUGUGAAAAUAUUAAUAUACCCUUAAAUCCUAUGCCACAACCAAAAUAUCCAAUUUUGUUAGCCGCAAGCAAGUUCGUCCUCUUCCCAUGACUUCUUGAGUAUCUCAGUCCCUCUUAACCAGCAUAUACUUCUGAAAACUCUAGUCCCUCCCUGGUGCAUAGGUGCGCAGUAGCUUUGAGGUGGUAGUCAGUGGCCCAUUGGAUGGCCUGCCGGACAUUCUGCGGCUCACCCUUCAUCCAAGCGCAGGGAAGAUGAUAAAACAUUAGAGCUGAAAUCAAACGCAGAUUUCAGUUUCAAACGUAGAUUGCAAGUUUCCCAACUCUUCAGUCCCAAAACUUUCAGGUAAGUUAUAACUUUAUUGGGUAAUGUUUUGUUAUUUUUGGUGUUUGCUGAGAAAAUCGGAGGGAAUUAGAAAGUUUUUAGUCAUUAAGGGUAUAUUAAUAUUUUUAUAUCAACUUUUAGUUAUAAUUAUCAAAAACAUAAAAUGAUGGCUAUAAUUCUAUAUGGAGUUCAAAUUCUGGUUAUUUUCCAUAUUUCUCAAUAAUACAUUAAAAAAUCAACUGCACGAUGUACAAUAAACGAAUAGAAUAUGAGCAUUCUUACAAUCGCCACAAAAAGAUCCUCGUACCACCAAGUUGUCCAGUGGGCGUCGUCUUCUAACGAAACUUCACGACGUAAGCUUGAUGGACGUGAUUCAACUGCUUCUUUCCAUUCGAAGAUCGAUCCGCGUAAGCUCUAUUUUCCCUCUUUUUUUUUACUAUUAUUAUUUUAUUCGUUUCUGUCAUCUUCCGAUUUUAUUUUUUGUACUAAAGCAGAGCACACCAUUGUUGAAUGUCUCUAACAAGGACUAGGAAAAAGCACCCAAAUGGAGUGAUGUGGCUUAUUAUUUAUGGAAAACUAACCAAAACACCCUCAAAAGUUUCACUUUAAUCAUCAGGACAAAACUUAGUAAAAAUGCCAAUCAUGCCCUUCACACAUCCAUACAAGAUUGCUCAGCAAUUUCAGAAAAAUUUUGCAUGCCAAAGAUAAGGUGGCAAACUUUGCAGCAACCAAGACAAUAUGGAUUCACGUGGCCCUCAACAGCUUUCAGAAACAAUGCUGACAGCUUUCAGAAACAGUGUGUUGUCACCAUCAAAAAGUUGUAAAUAUUGAAAAAUUAUUUUGUUGUUUAGGAAUCAGCUUUUGUAUAUAAGGGAGCCUUUCCUCCCAUACAGAACACACCUGAAUACCACACACAUAUCUCAAUAUCUGAAAACACCAUACACUCAAGCAUUUGUAGUCUUCAUAGCAUCCUUGUAAACACUUCUUUGUAAUCACUUUCUUGUAAACAACCAUCUCUGUAAACAUUCCAUAUAUCAAUAAAAGUUCAAGUGUACAUAUUCAAGCAAUCUUCAAGUCUUAAGUAAGUUUUCUUUUCCUUCUUUAGUGUGUUUGUUUAAUUAGACUUCUAGUCCAAAACAGGAAAACACAAUUGUGAUUAUAUUAUUAAUCUGCUAAACUGACGAUCAUACUUUGUUCGAGCACUCUGUUAUAGUUGAAUGCUUGCCAUACAAAUAACAUACAAAUAACUAGACAUUAACCAGGGUACCUCUGAGUUCUUUGUACCUCUGAGUUCAGCCGUUAAGGCCUUAUACUUGUACUGUGAGUGGCCGUCAUGCUGAAACAUGUCGAGUUCCAUGUGCAAGGUUCUAUGUCUAGUUGUUAUAAUGGUCAUCUGACUAUUAUAAUAGUAAAGUACCUUGAGGACGGAAGUCAUUAAAGCAACUGAUAUCACACUUGUUUAUUUUGUAUGAAUAACAGAUAUUAUUGUCCCUGUAGACUUUGUCAACCACAAUUACCAGGUAUUUAUUGUCCUAGACAUCCAACUAUAAAUAGCAUAAAGAGAAGAUUAUCAUUUAUAUCCAAAAGAAUUAGCAGGACCUUGAAGAAGCAAAAGUUUUAUCUUGGUUAUUUUGAACAUCCUUCAUUUAUUAGUAAAUAUAAUAACACUGAAGUGCAGCAUAAAGUUUUAGAAGCAAAAAGAGUAACUGACCAAGUUUUAGAGACCCUGAGAGAAGAAAGAGAGGUUCUAAGAAACCAAUUAGCUGUAACUUUAGAGAAAGGUAGACUAUAGUAUAUGAUAGAUUAUCUUAAUUUAAAAAUUAGUGAACCCCAACAACAACAACAACAAAGCCUUUUCCCACCAAGUGGGGUCGGCUAUAUGAAUCCUAGAACGCCAUUGCGCUCGGUUUUGUGUCAUGUCCUCCGUUAGAUCCAAGUACUCUAAGUCUUUUCUUAGAGUCUCUUCCAAAGUUUUCCUAGGUCUUCCUCUACCCCUUCGGCCCUGAACCUCUGUCCCGUAGUCACAUCUUCGAACCGGAGCGUCAUUCGGCCUUCUUUGCACAUGUCCAAAUCACCGGAGCCGAUUUUCUCUCAUCUUUCCUACAAUUUCGGCUACUCCUACUUUACCUCGGAUAUCCUCAUUCCCAAUCUUAUCCUUUCUCGUGUGCCCACACAUCCCACGAAGCAUCCUCAUCUCCGCUACACCCAUUUUGUGUACGUGUUGAUGCUUCACCGCCCAACAUUCUGUGCCAUACAACAUCGCUGGCCUUAUUGCCGUCCUAUAAAAUUUUCCCUUGAGCUUCAGUGGCCUACGACGGUCACACAACACGCCGGAUGCAUUCUAACACUUCAUCCAUCCAGCUCGUAUUCUAUGGUUGAGAUCUCCAUCUAAUUCUCCGUUCUCUUGCAAGAUAGAUCCUAGGUAGCGAAAACGGUCGCUUUUUGUGAUCUUCGCUAGAUUGCUCCGGUCAUUAGUGUGGAUAAGUAUAUAAAUGGAUAGAGAUAGGAAAGCAAACACAAGAUGUACGUGGUUCACCCAUAUUGGCUACGUCCACGGAAUAGAAGAGUUCUUAUUAAUUGUGAAGGGUUUACACAAGUACAUAGGUUCAAGCUCUCCUUUAGUGAGUACAAGUGAAUGAUUUAGUACAAAUGACAUUAAGAAAUAUUGUGGGAGAAUGAUCUCGUAAUCACGAAACUUCUAAGUAUCGGAGUGUGGAGUCGUCUUGACUUGCCUUAUCUGUCUCAUAGGUAGAUGUGGCAUCUUCUCUGGAAGUACUCUUCCUCCAUCCAGGGGUGGUAUCUUUAACUGGUGGAGAUGCACAAGGUAAUGUAUCAAUUUCACUUGAAGCUUACUUGUAGUUUCAGGCUUGGUCAAGCGCGAUACAAACCAUGUAGUAGGAGUCCCCCAAGUCGCCGAGCUAGGGGGUCUGCUGAAAGAGGUGACAGACAAGGUAAGCAAUCAGAGCUCCGACUGAUUGUUCACCUUCUCCCCAUCUUGCAGCAGCAUGAAGGAUAAAGAGAAGAAAAAUGAGAAGAGAUGAUAUGAGAUACUUUUGCUUUUGAAGAAGUAACUUUCCACAGGCUUAUUCUUGAACUGAGCUGGAGGGUUUUCUGGUUUCCUCCAGAGUAUAAGGCCGACUGAAGAAUUUGAGGGUCAAAACAAGUCCAUCAAAUCUAGAGUACGUUCCACCCUGCUGAUAUGGGAUACUUUUGCUUUUGACAGAGUAAUGGAUGUAUCGGCACGUGUGCUGUUACGCUUGUCUCCACAUGCUUCCUUGUAUCCUUCGCACUUGCCCUAUCUGUUCCUCAAGCAGAUGCAGAAUCUUCCCUGGAAACAUAAGAUGUUGAAGAUGAGUACUCGAGAGCAAUGCCAGGUAAGUAAUCAGGUAAGGGGUUCCAGGCAGUCAGUUCUUGGCUGGAAGCUUGAUUCCAAGUGCUGACUGAUUGCUCUCUUUCUCCUUGUCUUGCAGGUAAAAACAAGGCCAAAGGAAAAGACAGGGAAAAAGCAUGAUAUGGGAUACUCUUGCUUUUAACCCUGAUGAUAUGAGAUAUUCUUGCUCUAGUAUAGCUUGUUUGCAGAGGUAUUAUCGGGGGGAAAGAAAGCUGAAUAUUUCGAAAGGCUUCGUUGGGAGUGCCCUCUCAGAUAUGAUGAAGGGUUGAGCAUUUUUGCAGGUCUGCCUGUCCGUUGGGGAUGGAGGUUGACAUAUAUAGGAGUCUCCCUAACAAGUAGUAAUGCUAUUCCUUUACCCUGCUUGGUCAUAGCACGGUAGUGGGAGCUGUCAGUUUCACAUGUUUUAACUCUGUCAGAGCACUUUGAAAAAGUGGUCUGUGGUAUCUGGCUCUCGAGAUUCGGAGAACGAUGCCUCUUCGAUUUUUGAGAAAGCAAUCAUGCUGGGGGUCUGGCUCUCGAGAUUCGGAGAGCAGUGUCUCUUCGAUUUUUGAGGAAGUAAUCAUGUUGGGAGUCUGGCUCUCGAGAUUCGGAGGGCGGUGCCUCUUCGAUUUUGGAGCAAGUAAUCUUGUUGGGAGUGUUGUCUCGAAUGUGAGUAAAGGUUGGGCAUGUUUGCUAGUCUACCUUGCCACGAAGCACAAAGGUUGAUACACAGGGACUUUCCAAUUAUCCAGCAAUGGUACUGUUCCUUUACCCUCUCUUCGAUUUUGAGAAAGUAGUCAUGUUGGGAGUCUGGCUCUCGAGAUUCGGAGGACGGUGCCUCUUCGAUUUUGGAGCAAGCAAUCUUGUUGGGAGUGUUUUCUCGAAUGUGAGUAAAGGUUGGGCAUGUUUGCUAGUCUACCUUGCCACGAAGCACAGAGGUUGACACACAGGGAGUUUCCAAUUAUCCAGCAGUGGUACUGUUCCUUUACCCUUGUGGGUAAUAAUAUGGUAGCUAGACCUUCAAAAUUUAUGUGUUGAAAAAUAACUUUAGACCAAAAUAGUUUAGUUUGUUAUUUUCCAUCAAGAAAGCAUAAUCAUAUUUUGCACAGUGAAGAAAAUCCACAAGCCAAUAGUAUUAUAGAUCUUAUUAUUAGUCAAGCAGAAACUAUAAAAUUAGAAAAUAAUAAGCAUAAUCAUUUGUUAAACCAGUUGUUAGAACAUUUUCAGAAAAAUUUCAUAAAGAUAAUUAGACAAAAUUUAGAUUAUAUUACAUCUCAGUUAGAAGAUAAUAAUAAAAAUAUUCAAAUGUUUCCUAGCAAAAGAGAGAUAAAAGAGUUUGUUGACCUCAUAGAUAGUAAGCCAAAGCAAGUAGAACUUAGGUCAUUAGAAAUAGUUGAACAACUAAAAUUAGAAGUUCAAAAAAUUCAAUUCGUACAAAAGGAGUUGAGAGAACAAGUAGAUAAGUUGCAUAAUAAAAUAGACAAAUUAUUAGUUUAAUGACAGAUUCUAGAACUAGCAGAAAAUAUAUUCAAGCUUUGAAAGAAAUUAGUAAAUUAGAUAAAGAACCAGUAGGAUUAACAGAUUUUUCAACACAAGUAUCCAGUAGUAAUAUUCCCAUUAGGCAAAAUAAUUUGAUUAUCCAAUUAGUUUUAAGUCUAGCUGAAAAAUUAGAUCAAGUUGAAGAACAAAUAGCAGAAAUAAACCAAGUUUUACAUAACGCAUCUUCAUCACUUCCACCAUCCUUGCUAGAUAAAUUAGAAAAUUUAACUUUGAGUGCAAAUAAUAAUAGAAGACCUAAGCUAAAUCCUUUUGAUAAUAGAAAAUGAAACUCUUUAGGAAAAAAGGAAAAGAAGUAGUUAGAGCGGAAGAUAUAUAUCCAAAUGAAGAAGAAGCACAAGAAUUUAUUCGAAGAGGUUUUGAGAGAACACAGAAAAAUAAAUAUAACUUGUAUCAACUAGGUUUAUUUGAAAACAGAAGUAGAAUUGUAAGCAGCAUCAAUCAACAUGAAGUUAGUUGUAUUGAUAAAGAAGUCACACUUAAUCUAAUUAGUAAAGAAGCAGUUACUCAUUUGAGAAAAUUACAUUUUAGUCAGAUUCAUAUAGGAACAAUAUUAAUUGGAAUAGCAGGAUUAACCAGAGCACAAGUAGGUACAAAGGCUUUAGUAUACAUAUAUGAUGAUAGAUGGGAUAAUCACCAACAAGCAGCAAUAGCAACAGCUGAAGUAGACUUAAGUUCAAACUUAGCAGUCAUAGGUUGCAUUCCAAAUUAUGUUAUGACGAUUAAUGAAUUUAGUAAAUAUAUUAAAGUGAGCAUAGGAACAAAAAAUUAUAAUAUGAAAGGAGAAUAUAAAAAUUUGUGUAUUAGCUUAAUGUAUAUAGGUAAAGUGUCUGAUAGAUAUAAUCAUAAGUUUAAUUUAGAGUUUCAAAAUUUAGUUCAAACAUUUGGCAGUAAGCAUGUAAAUAUGAUAGAAGCAAAACCCGUAGAUAAUAGCUUUUUAGAAGGAACUCAGUGGACAUUGACCAAUUUACAAGUAGCACAAAAUAGACAACCAGAUAAAAUACAAAUAUAUGAAACUAGUACAGGUCAAGCAACAAUUAGGUUUAGUAAUUAUAAACAACUAGAAAAAAUAGAAGAGGAUGAGAGUGAGAUCGAAAAUGAGAAUACAUAUGGCUUUUGAUAAUCUAGAUAUUAAUUUAGUUGAGCAAAACUUUGAUCAUAUUGUAGACAAGCUUAUAGAAGAUAUCGAUCAUUUAGAUGAAGAAAAGUAUUUAGAAAAAUAUAAGACAUAUGAUUUAUGACUACAUAAAAUUUCAGAUGAGGAGAUGAAAAAUUUAAUCUUAGAAAUAGGAGUAGAACAUAUUUUAGGAUCAAAAGAAUAUAAUAAUUUAUUAGAAUUAAAAGAAGAAUGUAAUCCAGCAGAAGAAAGUAGUACAUCAGGAGUAGAAAAUCCAGGACAAGCAAGUAGAACUGAUCAACAAUUUUUGAGACCAACAAAUGAACAUUAUAAUGAAGGAGCAAGAGUAGACCACAUAGAAGAAAGCAUGAUAAAACCUAGAAAAAAUAGGAUUCCAUAUUUGAGAGGGUUAGACAUAUUUGAGAGGGUUAGAACAAAUUAAUAUAGCUGGUAAUAUAUUAAACUUAGACAAUGUAGAUCCACAAGAUUGGGAGAGAACAAUUGAAAGAUGGGAAAAAGGUUGCGUACAUGCAACAUUGAUGUUAGAUUUUAGUAAUUCACAAAAUAUGCUAGAUUAUUUUGAGCAUACUUUAGAUGGUUUAGUUUUUGAUUAUUUCCAGUUAUGGAAAGUCCAAAAUCCAGAAUAGCAUCAGGCAGCUAAAACACAUUUUAAUAUUGAUGGUUUUGUUACUUUGAUUAAACAAGAAUUUUUAGAUCAUAAUAGAUUAGAUAGCAGAAGUGAACAAGAGCAGAAAAGAGCAAUUAGAAAUUUAGAACAAUUACAAAUUUGUGAUUUACAAUAUAUAGCUGAAUAUACCACUGAUUUCUUUAAAUAUUUAGGUAGAACAGGUAGAAUUAGUGAUAUUAAUUUAUUAGAUACUUAUAUGACAAAAAUAAAAGGACCAAUAGGAGAAAAGAUUUGGAAUGAAUGGCAAAAGCAUCCAAAGAAAAAUGAUAUUGCAAUAGGACCUAGAAUUCAACAUGUAUACGAUAUACUUAGACAAGAGUGUAGUCAAAUAAAAGCUAAGAGAUAAAUUAGGAAACAAUUUUACAUGAGUUGUAAAAACAUAGAUUUACCACAACAGUAUGGUUGUCAUAAGAAAAAUAAGCAUAAGAAAAUACACAAAGAAAUAUAAGUCAUAUAAACCCUACAAACAGUAUAAGAAUUUCAGUAUAAGACCUUCAAGAACAUAUAGGAAGAGAAAAUAUAUUCCAAAACAAUUUAGAAAAAGAAGUGGCAGACCUUGGAUUAGAAAAUAUAAAGCACCAAAAGAUAAGAGUAAUUGUAAAUGUUAUUUAUGUGGAGAAGCUGGACAUAUUAGACCUAAAUGUCCAAAAUUAGGUAAACAGUCAAAAGAGAAAGUACAUUUGAUGGAGUUACUUAAGUUAGAAGAAGAUGAGGAUAUUCAGUCAAUAUACAGUUUAGAUAAUUUAAGUGAUAAUGAGAGUAUUUAUAGUAUAGAGAGUAUUAACAUGAUAGAUUCAGACUCAGAAGAUUCAAGUAGCACAAAUAGUGAUUUAGAAGAGUAUAUGUGUGCCUUCAUAGAAGAACAGCAUGAAGAAGAAUAUAAAUACAUUAAUUUAGGUUGGCCAGAAAAAUGUCAUAAGUGUAGUAAAUUAGUUGCAAAUAAAUACUAUAAUACAUAUUCAAUAUUGUGUGAAAAUUGUUAUAAUAAUAAGUUAUUAGAAAUUAAUUCAGCAGAAUCACAAGAAAGCACUGAAAUAUUAAGAAAUACUGUUUAUAGUAUAGAAAAGCUAAAAAAUAGUUCUUUAAUUACCAUAAAUUGUGAAAUAGAAUUGGCAAAAGAACAUAAGAUACAAACAACAGCUAUGAUAGAUACAGGAAGUACUAAAAGUGUCAUAAGAGAGGAGUUAGUACCAGAAAAGUAUAGACAAAAAUUAGCAAAACCAGUGAAAAUAACGCAGUUUGAUGAAAGACCAGUCUAUUUAACACAUUGCAUUAAUAAUGAGUCCAUUAAAGUGGAAAAACAACAAUUUAAUCUACCAUUAACAUUUGUCUCACCAGUAGGAUCAUACCCAUUCAUUCUAGGUUUAAACUUUUUGAAAAGUUUACAAGGUUUUUUAUUUAUGAACCCUAGCAUAACAUUUUUCAAAAGAGGAAUUACAAUAACUGACCAAAGUAAUACCAUAGAAGCAUACAAAAGUAUAAGUAUAGAAGAAUCUAAUAGUCAAGACAAUUAUUAUUUGGAAAAUUCAAAAGAAAAUGAUGAGCAUAAUAAUCUAAAAGAGUUUGAGUUUGAUGAAGAAAUAUUUGAACACGAAUAUCCAAUUAUAGAUGAAGGAACCCGUAUAGAAAUCUUACAGUUAGACAGACCAAAAAGUUUAGAAGAAUUGUUACAAUUAGCAGAACAAACUAGGAUUAUAGAAGAAGACCCACAGUUACAUUGGAGCAAAAAUAAAAUACUAGCAAAAUUAGAUAUAAUUAACCCAGAUUUAACCAUUAAGACGGCUGAUAUGCCUUGUAGUCUAAUAGAUAAACAAGAGUUUGAGCAGCAAAUAAAAAAGUUGUUAAAUUUAAAAGUAAUUAGACCCUCUAAGUCCAGACAUAGAUGACACACCCCGUCCCGAAGGAGGGCAUGCUGGCCGUCACGUGGGAGUGACGUAACCAUUUACACAGUACGGAAGCUUUAAAUUUACAACUCCUAAGAUGAUACACCCGAAAGUGAGUCCUAAUUUGAUCCAUUCUGUCAGAAUCCCGCUGAAUUCCUCGUAGCCACCACACCUCAGCUAUUCUUUAACCUGGAGGGGCGCAAAACCAAAAUUGAGUGGGUCAGUAAAACAAUUCUUUUCCAAAUUCAACAUUUCUCAAAACGUUGUAACCCCUCUCCGUAAAACCUGUAUACUUUCCCAGAAAUGUAAAAUAUAAAUAUACAUAUAUAUUCUCAAUACUUCAAUUCAUUAACUCAACAUUUUUUUUUUAUCAAUCAUGCCAUGCCAUGUCUAAAUUCAACAGUAUAAUAUGAAUGCAUCAACAUAAAUCAGGUGAAAGAAAAUAAUCAACCGGAGACCCUACAAUGGUCCUGUACGGUUGAAUCUAGAGCUCAAAAUAUCAUCUAACCGGAGUCACCAACUGUGACCUGUACGGCCAUGCCGGAGUCACCUAGUAUGACCUGUACGGCACUAAGUCGGAAUUACAUGUAAUCUCGUACGACUUCUAAUGUAAUCUGUAAAUUAAUGGUCUAGUGCUUUUCUCAUCAAUCAUCUGUGCACAUAAUCUAAGGUCACCUACCAGUCGGAACCCUCUAACGGUGCACGUUUAUGAUCAACAUCAUCAUGGCAUUCUGUCGUCCACCGCACAUUUCAAUAUAUGCAUCUACAUUCAUAAUAUUCAUGAAAUUCAUGCAAUGGCAUAAACUAUACCAAUCAAUUCAUAGCUCAAAUAUCAUUCAACAAAAAUUCACCUGUGCGUCCACCGCACCAUUUCACAUAUAUGCAUCAUACAACAAUUCAUAAUAUUCAUGAAAUUCUAUGCAUGGCAACCAACUAUAUUCCAUAUCACAAUUCAACAUACUUUUCAUUUAAAGCAUAAUUUCAUGCAUUUUCAAUUUCUGGGAAAACGGCAAGUAUAUAUGUAUACGGAAAACAAAACUGCCCACUCACCUGGAGUUCGCCCUACAACUCCCUAGCACAAUACGCCAAGGCGUCAUGACGAUCGCCGCCUAGAACAGUAAUCAAAUCCAACCUCAGAAUUCAUAUCGAUAGAAUAUAACUUAUAUAAAAUACGUCACUACGUAGUUCGAUCCAGAAGAUCUGCAACUCAGAUUUUAAAUCCAUAACUUCUAGAGGUCCACAAUAUAUCUCUAGGAUAACCUCCUAAAAUUUCAUUACCAUCCAACGGUCGGAUCUCCGUCAAUUUCCAAAACUAAGUGACGGUUAACAUUUUAUUUUAUGAACUUACAACUUCAAUUCCGGAAGAUCCGUAAAUCGGAUUCCCAAUCCGUAAGUUCCUAUAAUCCUCAAAUAUUACGUAUUACAACGUAUCAAAGUUUGAUGACGAUUGAUGACGAUCCAACGGUCGGAUCGUCAAUUCACAUUUUCACCUAACCCCGAAUCGUAACCAACUUAGGUUCAAUUAUUCAAUUUACGUCCAUCAAUUAUCAAAACAGAACCUAGAACCUUAAUCACAAUCUAAUAAUGACAUUGGCGGCCAUUGGCCACGCGCCGCCGCGGGUGGCGGUUGGCCGCCCCCGGCUCGCCGGAAAAUUCAACUAUUUCCAAAAAUUACCAAAAUUUGCAGAUUUGAAGAUCUCAAUGAGUUCAACUUUCCAUACCUGAGACCAAGGCCAAUUUGGCCUGGAAGUGCUUCAAUUUCAUUUCACCAAAACCGUGAAGAACCCUAGAAUUUGGGUGUUUCCCAAUUCGACCUUCAAACUUGUUCCAACGCCUCAAUUACCUCUUGGGGCUUUGUUCUUAGGUCCUAAAGGAAUGCUAAAGGUGUUAGUAAUUGAAAGAAAACAUUUCAAAAUUUGGAGAAUUUGAACAAAAGGGUCGCGGCACCCGUAUGGGUGUUCUUCGCGAAAUCACAACAAAAUUCAAUGAUUCUUGGGGUAAAACGUAAGAGGGAAGGCCUAGAUGUUGAUUGGGAGUGGUACCUUGAUCCAAUUCGCUGGAAAAAUGAAGAAAAUUUCGACGAAAAUGGGUGGAAAAACCCACCGGUCGCGGGUUGUGACCCAUUUCUGUUUCUGUUCUUCUUCCUCCGCUUCUCGCCUUCUCUCCUUUCCUCCUUUCCUGGUUCCUGUUCCUGGCCAGCCCUUCCUCUCUCUUCUUUUCCUGAUUUUUCCUGGACCUUCCUUCCUUCUUUCCCUUCUCUUCUCUCUUCUUCUUCCAGUCCAUUUCCUAAAAACCUUCUUUUCUUCUUUCUUCGUACUUCACACACAUUAAAACCUCUUUAAAUUAUUUUCUUAUUUCUUCUUACAUCUAAGCCAUCCAUUUUCAAAAUCCUUAAAUCUGGGCCAUCCAUUUUAAUAAUUUUAAAAAUCUCAAAAAAUGUCCAAAACUUCUUCAACUUUAAAAUCUUUUUCAUUAUAACUCCAAAUAAUGAACUGUCUGCGCCCACACGUUCGUAGCGACGAGUACUACGAGGAUAUGUCAAGAAAACAAAUCUUGGAUGGCACGAAACAACGAUUAACCUCGAACAAUGUGCGUGCCUCAAAUGGCAUUUUUGUAAAAUUCUUUAUUAAAACUUUAAAAAUUCUUAAAAUUAGGGACGGGCUGUCACAAUCUACCCACCUUACAGAAAUUUCGUCCUCGAAAUUUACACAAUCUUUACAAUCCAUCAAUAUCCAUGAAACAGCCCGAAACACAUCUCUCUCAUUCGAUUCUUUGACUUCCAAGUAGCGUCUUCCACUGAAAGAUUCCUCCAUAAACUUUCACCAAACUCAUAGUCUUAUUUCUCAGUACAUCAUCUUUCUAAUACAAGAUGGGCACUGGCUCCUCAUCAUACGUCAAAUCCACAUUGACUUCCAAAGGUUGAGAAGGUAUCACUCGUGAAGGAUAUGAGGUUUAAUGUCGAAGUAUCGAAACAUAAAACAUAUCAUGCCCUUUCAUCGGCUCUGGAGGCAACUCAGCCUGUACGUAACUUCACUGACUCGUUCGAUGAUCAUAGAUGGUCUGACGUAUCUAGGACUUACUUGUUUUUCUUUUUAAAACGAAUCAUACUUUUCCAAGGUGAUAAUUUCAAAAUCAUUCGAUCACCUACAUAUACAUCCGGUCAGUGGCAUGUUUGUCUGCUAAGCUCUUCAGCCGAUCCUGGCCCACUUUCAGGUUAGACUUAAUUACUUGAAUAUUCUGAGUAGUCUCCUCCAUUAACUCAGGGUUUUAAAUACCAUCCGUCCACAAUUCUAACAAUUUGAAACACAAGACACAACUUUCCACGACCUUAUGGCGUUGCUCUCGGGGACAAACUGAAAGGACCAACAUAUCCAAGAAGUUCAACAAAUCUGUAAGUCUAAAUCUCUUUUCCAUAAGACAGAUAAAUAACUGUUGCACUUCUGGAAAGGUUACUGCUCUUUCAUCGAAGAACAUUGUGCUGAUUUAGUAAACCAAUCAAUUAUCACUUCAAAUUUCAUCAUAACCAUCUCGUAAACGAGGGAGCUUGCACACAUAAUCUAUAUUAAUAUUUUCUCAUUUUCACCGUGGAACGGGAAGUGACUACAUCAAUCCAAAAGACUUCUUUCUUUCCGUUAUUCCUUGCUUUAAAUAAAUUUCUUGAAUUUCUUCAUCAAACGUUUGAGUCUCGAGUACGACCUACCAAAUAGACCUAACUUGAAAAUUAGCAAGUACGUUUUCUUUUCGAUCUUCCAUUCCCAACUUUACUCCAGUAGGUCUCAAUCUACAAGAAGAUGAACAUGGCAAUCGUACCAAGCAUUAAUUCUCACUGGGUCUUCCUACUAUAAGCAUUGGCCAUAACAUUAGCUCGACUACCCUAGUCGUACAAUCAUAAUCACUAAGCAACUCAAUCCACCUUUGUUGCCUGAGAUUAAGAUACCUCUGAAUAAACAGAUAUUGGGUACUCUUCGAUUUGUAACAAUCGUGCACUUUUCUUCCGAUAAAGACAAAGUCUCCAAAUCUUCAAAGCAAAGAUGAUAGCUACUAAUUCCAAAUCAUAAUUAGGGUAAUUCAUCUCAUGAAGUUUUAAUUGCCGUAAAACAUAGGUAAUCACCCUAACAUGCUGCAUCAACGCGCAUUCAAGAACAUCCAACGUAGCCUCACUAUAAACCUUAUAAUUACCAUUAUCGUCUGGAAAUGCGAAAACAGAUGCAUGAGUGAGGGAAUACUUUACUUGCUGAAGCUCUACUCACAAUUUUUCAUCCCACUCAAACGUAAUCUCUUUUCUCAUCAAUCUCACCAAGGGCAAAGCAAUGAUUGAAAAAUCUUGGACGAACUAUCAGUAAUAACCUGCUAAGCCAAGAAAACUCUGAAUCUCAGUCACAGUUCGCAAUUGUUCCAAGUUCUCAAUCGUUGCUACUCUUUUAAGAAUCCACUUGAAUAUCUUAAGUAGAUAUAAUUAAUUUCAGAAUGCCACCUGAUUCAUCUAACUUUAGCCUUUGCUAAACUUAGCAUACAACCAACGUUCUCUCAAUCUUUGAAAGUACACAUGCACCUCUGAGCUGAUCAAAUAAACAUCAGUACACCACAAUGGAUAACGGUUCUCAAUCGUUACCCGAUUCCAUUAUCUAUAAUCAAUGCAUAGUCUUUAAAGUCCAUUUUCUUUCUCAUCAACGAACUGGUGCUCCUCAAAAAUGUUGUACUAGGUUAAAUAAAACUUUUAUCAACCAAUUCUCUCAACUGAAUAUUCCCUUAACUAAUCCUGAACCAAUCUUUAACAUAAAUUUAUACCUGGCAACAAUUCAAUAGUGAACCUCAUAUCUCUGCCUGAAGGCAAUCCAGGUAUACUUUCAAGGAAGACAUCAAGAAAAGUCUAACCCUUUUGACAUUAUUCACACUACUCCAAACAACAUCAUUUAGCACCACAUGAGCUAAGUAUUUUUUUUUUUGACAGCCUUUCGAAAACAAUCUCUUUGCUCUCACAGCAUAAAUAACGGCCUGACUCAAUCCACUUUGCAUACUUACAAAAGUAAUCUCUGGUCAUCCAGAUCGAUGGAAAGUGACUGGUUUCCCGUAACAAUCCAUUUAGUCACAAUUAUAACCAACCAAUCUAAUGAAAAUAAUUUAACCGACACAAUACAUACUUUAUUAAUACUGAACAUUCUAAAUAAGUACAACACUAACAUAAAAUAACCUACUGGUUUGCUUGCUUAACGAAUCCACGAAUGAGUUAUUAAUAUUACGGUCUGCAGCCCGCAAUACUGAUAAAUCAUCGUUGUCUCGAUAAGUAGGCAACAAUUCCCAAAGGUGUAAUACUAUCAUUUUGUUCUUCAUUAGAAUACACAUAUACGCCUCUAUCACGUUCCAACAUUACUUUCUUUGGCAUCAUCGUCCAUACUCAGAAAUAUAUCAGCCGGAGUCAACUAGAAUGACCUGUACGGCUGAUUCUCUAGCUCAACCAUCUAUGCUAGCACAUUAGUCGGAGUCACUUAUAGUGACCUGUGCGACUUACACAUCAAUUCCCCAGUAAAUACGUCGGCCGGAUCCACAUCUUGUGGUCUGUACAGCCGAGCCUAUAACUCACCAAUUUCUCAUGUGUCAGCCGGAUCCACCUCUGAUGGCCUGUACGACUGAACAUUUAACUCAUCCAACAUCCUUGUACCCACAGUCCAUAUGACCCAAACUAAUGAUCCAAACACCUGCUGGACUGAUACUGGUGGUAUCAGGGAAGACUGCUGGGUAAUAACUAAUUUUUAGGGACAAUUCACAAUUUUGUGUCUCCUCUGUUCACAUAAACACAUUCAUUAAUUUCACACUUCCCAAAGUGUUAAUUUUGUACCUGCUGCACAAAGGUACCUUUCCUUUAUUCAAAUCACCUUGUCUCUGAAAUCUGGGAUUACCAGCAAUUCUAUCACUUUGACUCUGACCAGUGGCAUUAAAACCUCAGCUGGAAAAAUUAGCUCUAACUUCACUUCUUUUGAAGCUCUGAGUCUUUCGAUAUUCUUGAUAUGACGAAUCAUUAACUUUAUCGUCUUCUUUUAAUUCCCAUUCUUUUCUUAUUCCUCUUCACUCUAGCUGAUCAUAUUCUUAGAGUCCUCAAGGCUCAACAACAUCUUGUAUACUCUUGGUAAGAAAUACAAUGGAUAGUGGUCACCCAAAAUACCACUUCCCUUUUUGCCACCCAGCUUAAAACAACAUAACACCUCCACCAAAAUGGCAGUAAUAUCUGAAUGGAAACGAGGCUAGUCUGAAAACUUUCUAUAAUAUUCAUUUAUCGUCAACUUCCUUGAUUCACAUUUGCAAACUAUUGCUUACUACCAUCGAUAAAUGCCGGAGGGAUAAACUUUUCCUUAAACAAGUCCUUAAACAAUUCUCAAUCGACUGUUCCUCCGGUGACAACAAAUCAUACUCAUGUUUCCACCAGGAUACAAAUUCAUAACCAAAACCAGGUAGUCGUCUCGACCCCUUGUCAGAAGGAAAUUUCAUUUGACUUGCAUAAUCUGAAACAUCUUUUCCAAAUGGUUAAACCGUUACUUCGCUCCCUCAGGUUCAUCAUUUCAUAAGGUGAUUCAAAUUCGACUCAUAUGCCGUCUUAAAAUGUCCCUUUUUGAUAAUAUACUGAAUCACCAUAAUAAUAGUUUCCCCCAAAACCGCUAAAUUAGGGAGACUAAGUUCCUCUAACUACGUGGUUUGCUACGAGGCGGUGUAGUUCUGACAGAAUUC
rnacentral:lncRNA from 1 species